rnacentral:snRNA from 1 species
AGCUUUGUGCAGUGGCAGUAUCAUAUCCAAUGAGGUUUAUCCGAGGUGUGAUUAUUGCUAAUUGAAAGAAUAUUCAGAUCAGAAAGUGGAGAAGUGGUCUCAAUAAAAUUGUUCUAAAGGGCAUCCUGCUCCUUUGAAAGUACAUUUGAUCACAAAUCCAUAAG